rnacentral:rRNA from 1 species
GUAGGGAAUCUUCCGCAAUGGACGAAAGUCUGACGGAGCAACGCCGCGUGAGUGAAGAAGGUUUUCGGAUCGUAAAACUCUGUUGUUAGAGAAGAACAAGGAUGAGAGUAACUGUUCAUCCCUUGACGGUAUCUAACCAGAAAGCCAUGGCUAACUACGUGCCAGCAGCCGCGGUAAUACGUAGAUGGCAAGCGUUGUCCGGAUUUAUUGGGCGUAAAGCGAGCGCAGGCGGUUCUUUAAGUCUGAUGUGAAAGCCCCUGGCUCAACCAGGGAGGGUCAUUGGAAACUGGAGAACUUGAGUGCAGAAGAGGAAAGUGGAAUUCCAUGUGUAGCGGUGAAAUGCGUAGAUAUAUGGAGGAACACCAGUGGCGAAGGCGACUUUCUGGUCUGUAACUGACGCUGAGGCUCGAAAGCAUGGGGAGCAA